rnacentral:tRNA from 1 species
CGGUAGAGCGCUGGCCUUUUAGCCAGUGGUCGUGGGUUCGAGCCCCACGGGGGGCG